CAGGAUGUGGCUGAACUAGAUAAGCAUCUCACUUACACCGAGAAGAUAUUCAUGCAAAUUGAAUCACCCUGA
rnacentral:tRNA from 1 species